rnacentral:misc_RNA from 1 species
CAACCCUCAAGCUCUGCUUGGUCUUGGGCACUGCCGGUAACGGCUUGCCUUAAAACUAGUGGCGGUGCCAUUCGAGCUCUACGCGUAGUAAUUAAACCCUCGCGAUUGAGUCUUGGUGGAUGCUUGCCAGCAACCCUCAUUUUUUUAU